ensembl:snRNA U1 U1 spliceosomal RNA
AUACUUAGCAGGCAGGGAAAACACCAUGAUUGUGAAGGUGGUUUUCUGAAGGUGAGACUUAUACGUAAGUCUUGGUUGGUCCAACUCCUGCAAUUUCCCCAAAUGUGGCUGCAUAAUUUGUGGUAGUGAGAACUUUGCUCAUUUUCUCC